CAUGAAGUCGGAAUUGCUAGUAAUCGCGGAUCAGCAUGCCGCGGUGAAUACGUUCCCGGGCCUUGUACACACCGCCCGUCACACCAUGGGAGCCGGAAAUGCCCGAAGUCUGUGACCCAACCUACGGGAGGGAGCAGCCGAAGGCAGGUCGGAUGACUGGGGUGAAGUCGUAACAAGGUAAC
rnacentral:rRNA from 1 species